AUUGAACGCUGGCGGCAGGCCUAACACAUGCAAGUCGAGCGGGGUUUUCGGACCUAGCGGCGGACGGGUGAGUAAUGCGUAGGAAGCUACCCGAUAGAAGGGGAUACCAGUUGGAAACGACUGUUAAUACCGCAUAAGGUCUACGGACCAAAGUGUGGGACCUUCGGGCCACAUGCUAUCGGAUGCGCCUACGUGGGAUUAGCUAGUUGGUGAGGUAAUGGCUCACCAAGGCGACGAUCCCUAGCUGGUUUGAGAGGAUGAUCAGCCACACUGGAACUGAGACACGGUCCAGACUCCUACGGGAGGCAGCAGUGGGGAAUAUUGGACAAUGGGCGCAAGCCUGAUCCAGCCAUGCCGCGUGUGUGAAGAAAGCCUUCGGGUUGUAAAGCACUUUCAGUAGGGAGGAAGGGUUAAGUGUUAAUAGUACUUAACUUUGACGUUACCUACAGAAGAAGCACCGGCUAACUCUGUGCCAGCAGCCGCAGUAACAC
rnacentral:rRNA from 1 species